CUCUCUCUCUCUCUCUCUCUCUCUCUCUCUCUCUCUCUCUCCAGAGAAAUACUGUCUUUAAAAAGAUCCUCAAGUCUAUAAAAUCACCUUGCGAUGAUGUGAUUGAGAUUUCUCGAAUAAUCCAAGCUUAGUCAACGAUUGCGUUGUUUCCCGUGUUAAUUAAAAGAAAGGAUUCGAGAUAAUUUUUCAUAUGUUGAAGAGCUCAAGAUUUUUGUCACAUUGAAUUGGAAUUGUUUUCGUAAUUGUAACUACGAAAACUGUCCAAGUAUAAACAGAUAAAAAAAUCAUCGCUCAUUUGCAGUAGCAAAGAUAUCCAUCAUUCUGCUACUGAAGACUUUAGACAAGUGAAAAGUGUGAAAAAGAUCAAUAUCAAUUUGUUUAUCUAAUAAAUCUUGCGAGAAAUAGGUUAUAGGUUAACAAUUUCUCGUUUAGAAAGUUAUAUAAUAAUUGGUUACUCGAUUUUGAUGGUGCUCUGACAAACUUAUUAUUACUUUCUUCUUAAUGAAAGAAAAGAACGCUUACGAGCGCGCUUAUAUUGCAACAUUCGUUCCGUUAUGUGUUUUAGCCAGACCUUAUAUCCUCCCUUCUAUGUAUAACCACUAUAUCUAUUACUUGUCAAUAGCUGUUAACAACACUUAAAGGUUUUGAUCAUCGUCAAUAGAAUUUGCUGAAUGGAACUCCGAACAGCCUCAUCGAGCCCGAAUAGCUCGAGCAAUAAGCUCGACUUAUUCUUGACCUUCAUCACUUAAUUCUUUCUUUUCUGGCGUCAACUUUCAUACUGCAAUAAAAUUACUCUUUCCGUGGCUAAAACCAGCAAAACUCUGUUCAAUGGCAAUGUGCAGCGGUACCGAUAUCGGCACCUUAUUUAACGCGCAUGCUGGAUCCGUCGUGACGUCAGGGGGCGAAAAAUCAAUCCACCCUGCCGCGCGCUUUCCGAGGGAUGCGAUUGUGUGCGCGGCCCACCACCAUCGUCGUCGCUGGUGAUUCUUAUGACGGUCACGUAUGCGAAUGUAAUAACAAGACAAUGGAAAGCUUUUAUGGGAAUUCAGCAAUACAAUGGAGACGCGCAAAAGCGCGUCGCGUCAAACCUUGCGAGCCGCAAACUUCGACCGAUUGCGAGGAAUCCAAUGUUUAUCGACGCGAACAAGAUCAACUGCAAUUGCGAUCACGUGCAUUCUCGUUGACACACGUUCGAUCAUGCUCGAAUAAGGACAAAUCGCACCGAAUGAUCAUCAAGCUGUCAAUGCGAAUCAAUGAUUGCAUCGUAAAUUUAUUAUCUUCGCAAUAAUAAUCAAUUAGCACAUUUAUGUGUUUCUGCAAAAUCUAAAAUUAUUUUCAAUUUUUCUAAUUAAUUACGAAUAAUAAUUUAAUUACAGAAAUUUAGUUUAAAAUGAUUAAUAUUUUUUACGAUCUUAAUUAUAUAGAUACAUUUCUUUAUCGCUACAAAAAAAUUAAAUUACGUAUUUCUGAAGUCAUUGUUGUUCCUUCAAUUUAUGAAUACAUUAUGACUUUGAGUCGUUAAAUGUUAUCUGGUAUUUUUAAAUAGAAUGACAAAUUAUACUUUUAAAAAGCGAAUAAUAUUGCGACACUAAAAGAAAAGUGUUUACACAGUGUUGUAACUAUAAUUACAUGAUAAAGAAUUAUGAUUUGUAGCUGCUUUUUUAGUUGUUACUAGAGUGCUAGUAUUAAUAACAAUUUUAUGUUUAUAGGUCUGCCAAUUUUUAAAAAGUUUUACUAUAAAAAUUAUGAUAAUUUUAAAUAUUAAUACAAUGAAAUAGCUAGAUACAAAUGGCAAAAAAUAAAACGGAUAUUUCUAUGUAAUAAAGGCAUUUGUAAGUAUAAUUAUUUUUUAUACAUUUUUUGCUUACUAUUUACGUUUAAUAAUAACUAAUAUUAGCUGUAAUUAUGACUAGAACAACUAUAAAUUUAUAUCUGGCAUCAAAAAUAAAAAAUUAAUUAUUGUUCAAUUUUGAUAAUUGCAGCUAUUUUUUUAAACCAACUAAAGGAAAUCAAGAAGAUAAAUUUUCUUCAUUUAUUUUUAACGAAGUACAAGAUGUCUGUUUCCUUUUAACGUCGCAUUUCAAGAUCGUCUUAAAAAAGUUAGGAAGGAAAUUUUUAAAAUCUUAAAAAAAAAAA
rnacentral:lncRNA from 1 species